rnacentral:rRNA from 1 species
AUUGAAUGCUGGCGGCAGGCUUAACACAUGCAAGUCGAGCGGGGUGAUGGUGCUUGCACUAUCACUUAGCGGCGGACGGGUGAGUAAUGCUUAGGAAUCUGCCUAUUAGUGGGGGACAACAUCUCGAAAGGGAUGCUAAUACCGCAUACGUCCUACGGGAGAAAGCAGGGGAUCACUUGUGACCUUGCGCUAAUAGAUGAGCCAAAGUCGGAUUAGCUAGUUGGUGGGGUAAAGGCCUACCAAGGCGACGAUCUGUAGCGGGUCUGAUAGGAUGAUCCGCCACACUGGGACUGAGACACGGCCCAGACUCCUACGGGAGGUAGCAGUGGGGAAUAUUGGACAAUGGGGGGAACCCUGAUCCAGCCAUGCCGCGUGUGUGAAGAAGGCCUUAUGGUUGUAAAGCACUUUAAGCGAGGAGGAGGCUCUUUUGGUUAAUACCCAAGAUGAGUGGACGUUACUCGCAGAAUAAGCACCGGCUAACUCUGUGCCAGCAGCCGCAGUAA